UAUAGUUUAAAAAAACAUUAGACUGUGGCUCUAAAAAUAGGAGUUCAAGCCUCCUUAUAAACC
rnacentral:tRNA from 1 species